UCGGCCUUAGUGGCGCACGGGUGCGUAACGCGUGGGAAUCUACCCUUAGGUUCGGAAUAACUCAGAGAAAUUUGAGCUAAUACCGGAUAAUGUCUUCGGACCAAAGAUUUAUCGCCUUUGGAUGAGCCCGCGUAAGAUUAGCUAGUUGGUAGGGUAAAGGCCUACCAAGGCGACGAUCUUUAGCUGGUCUGAGAGGAUGAUCAGCCACACUGGGACUGAGACACGGCCCAGACUCCUACGGGAGGCAGCAGUGGGGAAUAUUGGACAAUGGGCGCAAGCCUGAUCCAGCAAUGCCGCGUGAGUGAUGAAGGCCUUCGGGUCGUAAAGCUCUUUUACCAGGGAUGAUAAUGACAGUACCUGGAGAAUAAGCUCCGGCUAACUCCGUGCCAGCAGCCGCGGUAAUACGGAGGGAGCUAGCGUUGUUCGGAAUUACUGGGCGUAAAGCGCGCGUAGGCGGCUUGCCAAGUCAGGGGUGAAAUCCCGGGGCUCAACCCCGGAACUGCCCUUGAAACUAGCAGGCUAGAAUCUUGGAGAGGUCAGUGGAAUUCCGAGUGUAGAGGUGAAAUUCGUAGAUAUUCGGAAGAACACCAGUGGCGAAGGCGACUGACUGGACAAGUAUUGACGCUGAGGUGCGAAAGCGUGGGGGAGCAAACAGGAUUAGAUACCCUGGUAGUCCACGCCGUAAACGAUGAUAACUAGCUGUCCGGGUUCACAGAACUUGGGUGGCGCAGCUAACGCAUUAAGUUAUCCGCCUGGGGAGUACGGUCGCAAGAUUAAAACUCAAAGGAAUUGACGGGGGCCUGCACAAGCGGUGG
rnacentral:rRNA from 1 species